rnacentral:lncRNA from 1 species
UAAAGCAACCACACACCUAUUCUGGAAUAGUGUACAAAAAUCACAUAGGCCAUCCCGACUCCUAACUGAAUCCCCUCUUCCACCGUCAGAGGACGAGGGCACUUUUUGGCAUGAUGGAGAGAAGCGAGGGGGCAGGGGUGGCCAGAGAGACGGCUGGAGUGGAGGCGGGGGCACCAGCGUGGGGUGAAGGCAGAGGCACCACGGGAAUGUAAAUUGCAGGACGCAUCCUGAGGCAGUGAGUGUUCGGGGCAUUCUUGUGGGUGGUCACUUGGGCCCUAGAUUAAAGGCAGAAACACAGAAAUGCCUUGGGGGACGUUGUAAACUUCAACAGCUCUAUCUGUUGUUUCAGGAAUGAGGGAGAAACAUUCACCAGAAGCUUCAGACUGGGAGGAGACAGAGUCUUUGAGGCAACCCAGGGGCUUCUUAGCUGCAGCUGUGUCUGCUUUGAAGUUCAGUCCACUCUCCCCAGGAAGCCAAGAGGCUCUCAAGUGCUUGCAGCAGAGAAGUUUCAUAGAACAGAAAGAGCAGACAGAGGCACGCUGCGCCCUCCAGCACGGCUGCCUGGCAGGAAGCUUUGCUGAGUAACUUUGGUUUUAGUUGGAAACCUUCUGUCAUGUUCCUGUCGGGGCAGUGUGGGGAGUGUGGGCUGCACUGUGGCGGGUGGGUUAGAUUUCCUCCUUCCAUGCAGUGGACAGGGAUGUGGGAUGGGGGCACGAAGCCAUGGACAAGUGGAUAACUGACCUUGAGAAGAUGUAGAGGUCACCACAGAGGGUUUCCAACUCACGAAAGCAUUUCUGCUAUGGGAAGGACAAGGGACGCUGGCCUAUGGAACAGGCCACCGGAGAUUCCAGAGCAGAGCCCUGCCCAGGCCUCCAGACUUGUGGCUUUAAUUAUCCAGUUAGUCAUAGGUUUACUGUCAUCCAAGUUUAAGAAGCUUGACUGUGACCCAUGUGCAAAAAAAGGUUGUUCAGGCUUUUUUUUUUUUUUUAAAGCCACUCUGGGCUGUUCAGCAGGCUGAGACAGGAUCCCCAGAGCCCACCAGCCCUGCAGAAGUGGGGACUGCCUACCUGCACUUUUCUUUCUUAGGCACUUUUAUCUUGAACACAGAGCCUCAGGCAUUGGCCAGUCCGGAGAGUCCUGCUCCUCGCUUAGCUCAGCACAGCGAGUCCCCUGGCUUCAGCUUCCCUCCUGAGCACCUGACGGUUGUCGGUUUACUGUGACUCACUGCCAUUCUAUCUGCCUGGGCUUAUGUUUCCAGCAUCUCACCAGAGCUGUUGUGACCCAUCUCCUGGGCAAAGCCUUCCACGGAGAGGCUGCCGGGCCAGCAGGAGAGGAGACCCAAUCCAUCCAUCAGCAUUUGAAUAAUUCCAUCCACACAUACUUCUCUUCCAAACACCCGGGCUAUUUUCCUUUCCCUGAGCCAUGCAAGCCCAAGGAGCCAGCAGGGUUGCGUGCUCUCAGGAGUAGGACACGUCACAUCAACUUGAGUGCUCCAGGAGCCCUGCCACAAUGGUUUCUUUGUGAGAUCAUCUUUGCAGCGGUUUCCUGAAGCUCUGGCCUCCUUCCUGGUAUCUUCACACAUUCUAGGUGUUUCAAUUCAGUAAAAACAUAAGGGCCUUUUGACUGCUCACUCCUGCACUUCACACUGGGAAGGACACAGAAGUCCCCAGAGAGUGCCCUGGACGACAAAAUGUAGUUCAGAGGUAUCUAAGGUGGGUUCCACCCAAAAGGGUCCCACAAAGAAAGAAUUCCAGGGCCAAUUAAAUUUGGGGAUCUGCAUAGUCCAUCUCUCUCUUGGUGAUUCAAAACAUAUAUUUAUAUAUAUUAAAGGUUCUGAGAAGUCCUGUAAGUAAAUCCUGUUCCACUUUUUAACCCACCAUCUCCCAAACCCAGCAUGAUACUGAUAUCAGCAUGCUACUCUUUUCAUAUAACACCUACUUAUAUAUGAAGGAACUAAUUGAGGUCUUUUGAGAUAUAUUUUAGGAAAUGAUCUAACAGUGGUUUUUAACCUAAGGAAACACCUCACUAGAGAGUGCUUGGGCACAGGAGGUGGCAUUUUGGGUUGUCACAAAGAUGGGGAGGUGCUACUUGCAUUUCAUACAUAGGGGUUGUGGGGGCAGGGGCAGCUAGUGCUGUUACAGUGAUGAUGCAAUGCGGCCCCGUCCCAAGUGGGGUGGGGGGCACUGUCCUGCCCUAAAUGCCCACAACUCUCCCCACGCCGCUCUCCCACCCCAUUGAGAAGCAGUGGUUGGACCUACGCUCAGCAUUGUGCUCCCAGGCCCUCUCUGCGGGUUCAAACGCCUCUUGAUGUCCUCUUGGU